GAUUCCUGACAGUAUUUCCUGACUUCUUGAGCAAGAAAAGAAGAUCACUCAGCUGCAUCUCGAGAAUCAGCAGAACAGCCAACUAGGGCAUCAAAAAAAAAGAAGAAAAAAAAAGAAAAGAAGAAAAAGAGGGUGCAAAAUAAAAAAAAAAAUCAAAUCAAAAUCAAAAGAAAUCAAAAGCAAAAGCAAAAGAAAAAGAAGAAAAUAGCGCCCUCAAAGUCCCAAGUUGGC
rnacentral:lncRNA from 1 species